rnacentral:rRNA from 1 species
AACGAACGCUGGCGGCGUGCCUAAUACAUGCAAGUCGAACGAGAAAGUACUUCGGUACGAGUAGAGUGGCGCACGGGUGAGUAACACGUAGAUAUCUGCCUUUUAGUGGGGAAUAACACAGUGAAAAUUGUGCUAAUGCCGCAUGUGAAAGUGAUUUCAAAGGGGGGUAGCAAUACCUCUUGCUAAAAGAUGAGUCUGCGCAACAUUAGGUAGUUGGUGGGGUAAUGGCCUACCAAGCCAGCGAUGUUUAUCCGGUCUGAGAGGAUGAUCGGACACACUGGAACUGAGACACGGUCCAGACUCCUACGGGAGGCAGCAGUAGGGAAUAUUGCGCAAUGGGGGAAACCCUGACGCAGCAACGCCGCGUGAGUGAGGAAGGCCUUCGGGUCGUAAAGCUCUGUUCUUAGGGAAAAAUGGUUAUGGAGCUAAUACCCCAUGGCUUGAUGGUACCUAAGGAGAAAAGACCGGCUAACUUCGUGCCAGCAGCCGCCGUAA